GGCGGUUCUCAGGUGAUGAACCCCGGAAUCAGGUUCCUUCCUCUCUGGUUCUGGGUGCAUCACCCGAGAACCACA
rfam:Myotis davidii contig33072, whole genome shotgun sequence.